rnacentral:piRNA from 1 species
UCAGAGUAAUAGUGGCUUCAUAAAA